rnacentral:rRNA from 1 species
CGUGAGAAUCUGCCCUCAGAACCGGGACAACAGCUGGAAACGGCUGCUAAUACCGGAUGAGCCUACGGGUAAAAGAUUAAUCGUCUGAGGAUGAGCUCGCGUCAGAUUAGCUAGUUGGAGUGGUAACGGCACACCAAGGCAAUGAUCUGUAGCUGGUCUGAGAGGAUGACCAGCCACACUGGGACUGAGACACGGCCCAGACUCCUACGGGAGGCAGCAGUGGGGAAUUUUCCGCAAUGGGCGCAAGCCUGACGGAGCAAGACCGCGUGGGGGAGGAAGGUUUGUGGACUGUAAACCCCUUUUAUCAGAGAAGAACACAAUGACGGUAUCUGAUGAAUCAGCCUCGGCUAACUCCGUGCCAGCAGCCGCGGUAAUACGGAGGAGGCAAGCGUUAUCCGGAAUUAUUGGGCGUAAAGCGUCCGUAGGUGGCAGUUCAAGUCCAUUGUCAAAGCGUGGAGCUUAACUCCAUAAAGGCAGUGGAAACUGAAUCGCUGGAGUGCGACAGGGGCAAGGGGAAUUCCUAGUGUAGCGGUGAAAUGCGUAGAGAUUAGGAAGAACACCGGUGGCGAAAGCGCCUUGCUGGGUCUGCACUGACACUGAUGGACGAAAGCUAGGGGAGCGAAAGGGAUUAGAUACCCCUGUAGUCCUAGCUGUAAACGAUGGGUACUAGGCG